ensembl:lncRNA
AAGAAGAAGAUGUAGAUGAAAAGAGAAUAGAGCAAGACAGACAGAUAACAGGAGGAAAUGCAGAAGGAGUCAAAGUGGAGAAGCUGAGAGAGCAUCACGCUGAAAAUGAAAAGGAGGUAAACAAAGAAAAGGAAGAACAAGUUUAUGUAAAAGAAGAAGAAACAGAAGAAUGGGUUGAGGAGCCAGGAAAGAGGCCUGAUCAGUCUGAUCCCCCAAAACUGUCCCUCUGUCACCUCUGCAGGACCCACAAUCUGCUGAAACUCUGCAUCACGGCACAGAAAACAAAGCUCCCAGAGUCCUCACAGACGGAGAGAAAGGGGCUGUCGCUGCCAAAACCCACAGCAGGGACAUUUAUCCCACAUCGCCGAGCAGUGACAAGGAGGCUUUUCUGAGCAGCACAGACGCUUCACACCAAACUGCUGCUGCACACAGUGUGACAGACACAAACGUUCCCUGUGCUGACGCUCAUCUGAAUCUAAGUGAACAAACAGAGACGUCGCAGCGUAGUUUACAGGAGCAAGAGCGGCAUCCAGGUGAAAGAGCUGGAGUAGAAGAAGCAGACAACUCCGGAAAUACUCCACCUGUAUUGCACACAGACCUACAGACAUCGCUUUGCAGACCAGAGGACAAAGUGACACUGAUGGAAGCUCCUGCUCAGUCCUCGAUGGAAGAUGAACAAGAGAGCAAAAUCUCCUCUGGCACAGUAAAACAUCCAAUGAAAACCGUAAGGUCUCCUGUGAUGAAUGGUGAGGCUGAUGCUGCAGAUGACAAGAAGAAAGAUGGCCAACAAUCAUCGAAGUACAAAACAGUGUCCUACAGAAAGAUCCCCAGAGGAAACACCAGGCAGAGGAUUGAUGAGUUUGAGUCCAUGUUUAACUCGUGAAUGAGCGUUAAACAUAAUAUAUAGUAACAUACUGAUAUAUAAUAUAUGUAGAGGAUUUGCUGAAAUUAACCAAGUCGUUUUUUUCUGAUUCAGCUCUUGCAAAUUAUGACCCCUACUGGUAAUGUUUUGAGAAAACCAGAAGACCCAGAGCAGAGCUUUUCUAAAAUAUGUACAUGAUUUUAUAUGACUGUAUUUGUACCUGUGGCUUGUUUGGGAUGCUGAGGUGGCAGUUUUUGUUUUGUUUUUUCCAUCUUCAUAGGCAGUCCAUCCCCUCCCCAAUUCCCUAACCUGACUUCGUUAACCCUAUCCCAGAAACCCAGCUCAAUAAAACUCAGAUCUUUAGUUAGCAUCUGAGCAAAUAAAACCUUAAGGGAAGUUCUGUCUAAUUGCUGCCAUUGCUCCACUUGACAGUUAAGGAUCCCAAAAAUGAAAGACUGCUUUUGAUCCUUUGUUGGUCCCAUACUUAAAACAAAUGAAAUUUCCCACUGAAUUGAAUUCACCCAGUUUUGUUUUGUUUUUUAGAAAUACAGUGUGUCAUGCAAACUCCUGAAGUUUCAUUCAUUUAAUAUUUUAACAUUGUAGAGGAUUCUAGAUUCUUCUCUAGGAACAAUUAUCAAGUUAAAGGAAUAUGUUUUUCUCUUUUUCUUUUUCAAUUGUGUAGUGUUAUCCUGAAUAGGUGGCAGAAUUUUGAGUAUUAAAAAAGAAAGGCUGAAGAUAUAAAGAUAAAUGUGUGCAACACAGCUAUAUAGAUGAUUUCUUUCUUAGCCAGUCUUUGACUGACAUGUAACCCCUCAAUGAUGUUUACUCAGGCCAUGAUCUCUCCUGAGAAAUGUUGCCUGAGUGACUGACUAGAGAACAGCAACCUAUAAAAUACAUCUUAUUCACCUCAUUAUUUUUUCUAGUUUAACAACACAAACAUUUUUACUGUUGAAAUGUCAAAGCAUUCAGAGCUUGUACAUACAGAAAAAUAAUAGCUGAGAGAAUAAAAGGAUAUGAUUUUUUUUUUACGUUAGUUAAACCUACCUGACACUUAGAACUGUAUAUGCAUAGGGUCUUUAAAAAAAACCUCUCUUAUUGACAAACUGUUUUAAUGUAAAUUUCAUGGUAUGUUUAUCACAAUUGUAUGAUAUCUAUUCGUUAAUUUAAUGUAUUCAAGAAAAAGCAUCAUGCAAAAUAUAUGUUCUUGCAUUUUGUAAUUUGUGUUGGCAUCAACUACCUUUACAUAAAACAACAUAUAUGUCUGCAGUGGUACAAACAACAGAGGAUUAUCUGUUUUUGAGGUUUUUGUUGAAUAUUUUGACAAUAAAGUGAACCUAUUGCUGAAUCUUUGUG